GAUGAACGCUGACAGAAUGCUUAACACAUGCAAGUCUACUUGAUUAUUCCUUCGGGGAUAUGAUGGUGGCGGACGGGUGAGUAACGCGUAAACAAUCUGCCCUUCAGUCUGGGAUAUCAUUUGGAAACGAAUGUUAAUACCGGAUAUUAUGAGAUCCUCGCAUGAGGGACUUAUGAAAGCUAUAUGCGCUGAAGGAGGAGUUUGCGUUCCAUUAGCUAGUUGGUGAGGUAACGGCUCACCAAGGCGACGAUGGAUAGCCGGCCUGAGAGGGUGAACGGCCACAAGGGGACUGAGACGCGGCCCUUACUCCUACGGGAGGCAGCAGUGGGGAAUAUUGGACAAUGGGCCACGAGCCUGAUCCAGCAAUUCUGGGUGCACGAUGAAGGUCUUCGGAUUGUAAAGUGCUUUCAGUUGGGAAGAAGAAAGUGACGGUACCAACAGAAGAAGCGACGGCUAAAUAUGUGCCAGCAGCCGCCGUAACAC
rnacentral:rRNA from 1 species